rnacentral:rRNA from 1 species
GACGGGUGAGUAAUGCGUAGGAAUCUACCUAGUAGUACGGAAUAGCCAUUAGAAAUGGUGGGUAAUACUGUAUAAUCCCCGAGGGGGAAAGAUUUAUCGCUAUUAGAUGAGCCUACGUUAGAUUAGCUAGUUGGUGAGGUAAUGGCUUACCAAGGCUAUGAUCUAUAGCUGGUCUGAGAGGACGAUCAGCCACACUGGAACUGAGAUACGGUCCAGACUCCUACGGGAGGCAGCAGUGGGGAAUAUUGGACAAUGGGCGAAAGCCUGAUCCAGCUAUGCCGCGUGAGUGAAGAAGGCCUUCGGGUU